GCCUGUAAACAAGUGAGAAUAAUCACGUACACGGGACAAACAACAGCCAGGUCUCCGCAUGCCCGGGGAUUUAGGCCUCCUGUGCAAUAGUUCGGACGGAUGAUCUCACAGGACUCAAAAGAACAUGGUGCCGAGCCCACUAAGCAGCUGACUGUUGGUGGGUGCAUAGCACGAGGAUGGAGUAAGAACUGGCUUGUUAUAUACAGUUGAGGACAUAGCACAAAAGGUGUGUAAGGUGUAGGCAUCCCUAGCUGUAUGUUGCAAAGUGCUUCCUCUUAAACAAAGGGAAGAGUGGGCAUCUGUGUGGAAUCGGCUGUGGCCAUGCUGUACAGUGCCUAAUGCUCCCCUGCCCUCAUAAAGUAUUGCAGAGUAACAGAAAUGCCUUUAAAUUGUGCGUUUUAGGACUGAAUGUGGAAGAAAGGGAUAAAAGCUUGAGAUACACUGUUCAGUGAAAGCAGGAAGCUACGGGAAGGUACUUCAUUCCUCAGGUCUGCUAGAGAUAAGUGGUGCCAUUUAGUUGGUGAUACCUUGGCCAGCUUCCUCUUGUUAAAGCAAAACAAAGCCCAAUAAUAAACACAAUUUUCCUUAAGUGUAAGUGGCACUUUGCUUAUAAUGCUGCUGUAAUGAUGAUUACUACUGAGCAUGUUGCUAUAGUGAGCCCUUUUAUGACACCAGGACAUUUACCAAUACUUAGAGUUAUAUAGCAGGAAUAGGCUUAAUUCAUCUAUCUGUGGAGUUGUUGUUAAAGAUACUGGGGUAAUUAAUGUAAACAGCUUCUUAGCAGGUGGAAUUACUUGGGACUCAUGUCCUUCAAGAUGAGUGCCAUGUAACAAUAUGCCUUCUGAUGUGCAACAGCUGACAAUGGGUUUGCCAGAAGAAUGAUUCUCAUUAGUGACUUCCUGAAGUCUGACACUACUGAUACACACAUCCCUUGGGAUGCACAGUAUUAGGCAGGAAUUGAUGUUCUGAAGCUGCUGAAGUGAGCUUUAAUUUGCACUCAUUGUUUGAUUGCGUCACAGACACGCACUGAACAGAUGGCAGCACACAGCGCAUUACAGAGCCAUGCCGGCUUUUGGGGAAUACAUGCCCCCUCUGGCAAACUUCCACAACCACACACAUUACCUGGACAGCACUCCAACAUAUGAGCAAAGGCAUUGGUGCUGGCUGAUGCAGCUUUUACCCCAGCAAAAGCAAACAUGCAGUUUUUGGGACUGAUAUUCAGCACACAGUGGAAGGAACAAUGUGUCCAGCAGAAUGCAGGAUAAGGUCCUACAAUUGCAACAAUUCCAUUGGGGGGGCAGAUGCCAGAUUAAUCUAUACCCCCACUCCAACAUGAACAGCCAUAGAGUAUCUGCAUUCUAGUCCCGAACUCAUUUUCUCCCCAGACAUAGAACAGAAACAUAAUUAGACGACAUUCUUUGCUCUUAUGUACAACACAGUGUUAACGCUUUGUGCUGAGUCUUUUACUCACAGGUCACAGAUAGUCCUGUUCUGCAGGACAAAUGUAAAGAUGCUGAACUUUUAGGUGUGCCCAGAACUACAGCACAGCACAACCUACACUCUACCCUUUUCAUUUAUCUUGUCAUCCUUGCUCUUUUAUAUCAAAGUUGCAAACCACCUCUGUGCUGUCAAUUUAUAAGGGAUUACAGUUUCCAUAGACCUUGCAUUUCAUGACGUGAAAAAUCUCACAUGUGCAGGCAGAGUCUAGUUUAAAAAACAGCUCUGCUGUUUGCUACCCUAAAUUUGUAACUGACUAUAGCUAUAAAAAUUUUAAGAGACUAUGUCAAGUGUCCAGUCUGCAAACAAAAUUAAGUAGGGCUGCUUUGGACAGGUAGAGAGCACAAUCACCACCACUCCUUUCAGGGACUGGCAAAACUUAAAAAGCAAAGUCAAAAAAAGGCUCUUAGAAGCUUCCAGAGCAGCCAGUGGCCAUAUAAAAUACUGCAGCAUGUGGCAGGGCUGACUCCUUUUAGCAUGUAGCUUGGUGCACUUGGUGUGUGCAGCACUGCAGGCACUUACUAAUGAGAAAGGAAAACUUUUCUGUGCUGAAGCCAGAGGUAGUUUUUCUUUUUUAAUUAUAAAUAUGUUAAUCCACUUGUGACAAGUAUUAGUUUUAAGGAAUGAAACUGAACACUAAUGUAGUUAAACUCCAAACUCAUUGAAUCUUUUCUCCUGAUUCAUCACUUCCAUUACUGUUAUGAAAAUAGUUUUUGCUUUAAAAAGGCAGUUUUAAUGUAAGUAUACGAAUUCUUGCAAAGUGCUGAGUAAGACACCAGGACUUAUUUUCUACAUUUUAACAAGGGGCUGUGUUGAGGAAGCAGUAGGGAUGCCUUAAGAGGCAUCAAGUAUCCAAGUGGGAGUUGCUUUUCGAGUGCAUCAGAGGAGUCCCAACCAUAUUUUAAAUUAAAUUACUGGAAAAAAACCCCUAACUCACUCAUAGCUCUUUCCCAGCCCUUUUGCAUUUCAUCUUCUGCUUAACGAACCGUCUUGUACAAUCUUUUAACUCCAGUAAGGUUACAGCAGUGCCUCAUGAGUCACCUCAAAUGAAGCCAAACCAAACUGAACUUAUUGAUCCUCCAUACAAAAAAAAGUGGUGCUUUCCUGAUAGGGAAGAAGCUACACAAGGGUCAAGCCAGACUGCCUGCCACAAUUUUGUGGCGGAACAAUGGAAAUCAUUAUGGAAUUCAACUGCCUGAAACCAGCAUGUAUUAGAGAGAGACAUUCCAAAUACUGCUGAAAAAAAUUAUUAAAUCCAUUUCUGGAGAAUGAACACAUUUGUAAAGAAAUAAUUAUUGAAGAGGCAUUUACAUCUCCAAAGAGAAACAGUGGUACACUUAUAGGUGGUCUUCCACCAGUAAGUCAACAAGGCUGCCAGGUUUUGGGAACACCUGCAGGUGACCCUUCCUGGGGCCUGUCCGUGCUUACCUCGAGCACUGGAGGGGGCAGAGUUAAUCAUCUGGGAUGGUGCCGAGUGAGUGGAGCUCAGGCUGGAGGUGGAAGGGCUGGCCUGGGACGAGGAUAAAACAGAGAUGUUGGUGGCUGAGCCUUGGUACCUGGGCUCAGGGUAAACAAGCUGCAGGAGGCAGAGAAAUCACUGAGGGAGAACCGAGCGGAUCAGUGCCUUGGGGAUUUACCUGUCUUGGAUCAGCCAGGGCAGCCUCUGCCCAGCUUCAGUGCAGGCCACUGAUAACCUGCUCUCAGGACUGUGGGACUCAUUUCACCCCCCAAACCAAGAGCAGCACUAACUGCCCGUGCUGAGCAGGGCGGGUAAAUCACACGUGGCAAAAAUCUCGCUUUUGGAAAGCGGCGGUGUCAUCGUGGACCGCAGGAUCACAGUCACUGCACAAACACAGAUCUCUUCCCAAAGCAAACCUAGUGAAUCACUGUCAUCUUUCUUGACCAAUGUUAGAUUCUACCUAUGCAGUUGAGAAAAAUAUCACUGGACAGAUCCAAGCAUAUGCGUAGGUAAAGUACUGCUCCUAAGUGUAACCCUCCAGAGCACGUUCCGUGCUGCUCCCAACCACAGCUCCUGGCUGUGCUGGAGCUGUACCUGCAUGUGGUACAUAUCCUCAGCAGUCUCCCCCACAGAGCUGUCUGUCAGGAUAACCAGGUUUCCUGUUUCACUGGAGGUGUGGGAUGACAGAGAGGAUGACGAGUGUCGGACUGAACCAAGCAAGUUCAGUGGGCUGGAAAAAAAACAGAGAGAGAGCAAGGGCAUAAUUACGUUUUGAACCUGUGUUUUAAUUUGUGAAGCCUGACUUUUUCCAAGGUAGAAAGUACCUGCAGUUACCUGCUGCUUUAGGUCACCUCUAGAUGUCAAAUAUUUUUGAAAAAUCAGGCCCAAAAACCAAAUCAAUAAAUGUGAGUAGAUAUGAAAGAACUGACAACAAGGUUACAUGUAAGACAAAACAAUAGGUGGGAUGUUGAAUUUCAGAAUCCAAAGCCAGGUUAACAUCAUGACCCUGGGAGCAUAUUUCUUUAAACAGAACAUGCUGAAACCACUCUCAUUUUUAACACCAAAUACAAUGAAUCUUAAAAAAAAACUCCAAAGGAAGCCAAGCACAAGACACACAGGUCAAAAUACAGUUUUCCUUAUUGCAUCCGUUGGGCCUCAGCGUUACUGUUGAAGGCAACUUUGUAGCUGACAGUAAAUUAAUACAGCCCAGUUGGUGUGCAGGAUGCACCCUGAUCUCACUCAGGUAAUUAACUUUGUCUCUCUGAAUCACAUACAUAAAUAAACAACAUAUUUUGUACACUAUCGAAUCUCCCUAGUAUGUCCUAAGAAUUAAAAAAGCCUUUACAAAGGGAGGAAUUUUGAGGAAAAAAAUGUUAUCACCCAGACACCAAUUGUCAACUGCCAAGCCACAGAAAUAGUAGAAGCUACUCAGUUUUAAUAUCAAAAAGAAUGUCACCAUCCUCCAUUCAUGGACUCGAGACCGAGUUUCCACAGCUUUUAAUGUCAGGUUUUAAAAACAGCUAAACUACAGAGACCCACCAAGAAAAAUAAACAGAGAAGAGUAAUUAGCAUUUUCAAAUGAGCAAUUUCGACUGGAUAUAAAACCCACUGUUAUGUCCUGAUAAUCCCAAUUUUUAUCCUCAGUCAUUAGCUCAGAUUUUAUAGAUGGGCAUUCAGUUUGAAUAAGCACCCACAGAGUCAUUUUUUGAUGUUCUGAUCAUCCUUGUAUUUGGCUUCUGAUUUGAUCAGAAUUAUAAAAAGCAAUGAUGUGAACAUUUUCGAUCCUUCAAAACGGGUACAUAUUUAGUUGGGUUUUAAAACAUGAAUGAAAUUUUCCUUUUAUGGUAGAUAAGGACCCAGUUAUUUGCUGUUGGCAUAACAGAAGUUGGAACCUCCGAAGUCAGACUGAGUCUGGAUAACUGAGUGGCAGAUGUGUGCUUCUGCCCCUACAGUGAGUGAAGUGAUGGAGUAACACCUGGAGGUGUUCAGCAUUUGCUGCAAAUUGGAUUUCUCAACUUUUUUAUUCCAGUUCUCAAAUUUCGAUAAUUAGCACUGCAUGAAGGCAAAAGGCAUUUCUGCCAAAACUCAUCCUGCCCCUCCUGCAGUGCUGUCAGCCACUCCUUAGAUCCCUGACUCUUGGUGCAACAGUGUGCAGGGAUCCUCGAUAUUUGGGUGGGAGAAGGGGGUACCUGUGUCGAUGCACCAGCUUUAUGCUCUCCGGGCUCAUGGGUCCAUGUGAAACCAGCACGUUGCUGCGGGGGGUACUGGACCCAGAACAGGCUGGGCUCAGCUUCUCCAAACCAGGUAACUCCUGCAAAGCAAACAGACUUCAGCUAAGUCAGUCUUGGAAAACUGCAAGUUUUCUUCGUGUCAUUCUACUCCUUUGAAGAGCUCAACAUCCAACACUUCCUGUUAAUCUUCCUCUCUUUUACAUCAUUUUUUGCUAUAUGAGACAGCAACUGAAAAUUAAGCUUUACAACUGCUCUGUGAUACAACAAAGCACAUGCAAAUAUUAACAAUUCUUGUUUAAAGGCUAAGUUAACAUAUUUACUAGGACUUCCUUCUUGCACAAAAGUCAAGAAUUCUUUUGGUACUUUGGCAGUCCAGUAAGUUCAAUCAGUGCUGUAUCAGCCCAGUUCUUUUGAGAACCCUACUGCAACUAAUCAUAACUCUGAAUAAUGUAAAAUGGGAGAAGUGACUGUGAGCUCACAUGGUACAGGCUGGAUCUCAUCAUCUGGAACUGGUCUAUCAGCUUCUUAUGCAGGGGACGCAUUUCUGGGUGUACAAACUUCUCAUGGACAGCCAGACCCACUCCUAGGACAUGUACCUGUGAAAGAGAAAAUGUAACAUCCCAAACCCAAAUAAAUCGUGUCUAAGAUAGAGAAGUGAAGCCUGUCCUGCAGUUCUGUCAAUGUCCAAGGAAGUGCUCUAAAAUAUGCCAUUGUUCAUUACAAGACUGCUGAUAAUUAAGCAAGGCAAGGAAUCCUGGCAAGUUCAUACUACUCCAAUGAAUACUUCAAGUGUGAGACAAGUACAUUUGUGUCAUGUUGGAUUGCUUUUUAAAGACAUAACUGUAAAAAAUUACCAGAGAGAUUAUCUCUGGAGUGAACAGCAUUAUGCCCUCACACAGAUAAUGCCCUGUGACAAAAAAAUGUCUCCUCCCAGUGCCAGGGAAGGGGUUGGAGUUGCCAGCAGAGAUCUCUAAAAGGAGUUUCUGAUAAUGGAGCUGAACAGCAGCAGCGGCACAUGCACAGUCACUCUGCCUGGUCCUCAUUAGUUAUUUCGAAAGGUCACUUCUUCAAAGGUCAAACAUAAAAUAUUAGUGAUUGAAUAAGAUUAUAUAAGGUCUCAGAUGAAAGAAAAUAGCGAUAGCAGGCUUAAGAUGUAUGUAAUUCCCUACAAGAUCCAAAGUCUGUACAAACAAUAACUAAUUAAUCUUCAAACAUCCUCCUGAGGAUUGAAAGGAGAUAAGCAUUAUCUUUAUUUUUCAGAUGGGGAAUUGCAAUGCAAUUCAGUGAUUUGAUGAAGAAACAGGCCUAGUAGCUCUCUUCAGACUUGGGCACAUUGUUUAAUGGGGUAUAUCUUGCCAAACUUUCAGUUAAGAGGGAUGUGAUUAUCUGAUUUCACUCCCAUCAAAGCAUCCUGCUGCUUUAUCUAUGAAGAUGUCUCAUGGAGACAUUAUGGAAAAAUAAAACUGCAGAUAAUAUAAACAGGCAUUAAGUUUUCAUAUGUGGCUCUGCCAGUCUAAUCUCAAGCCUGACCUGUCCUGUCUCUGAUUAUCUUUGAAACUUGCUGGAAAGACAUAAUUCAAAAUGCCAAAAAUGAAUGGCAGGCUUGAAAUGCAGCAAGAUCUCUGUCAGAUAAUAAAUGGAGACAACAAAACUGAUGUACUUUUAGCUAAGCUUCACCUCACAUCCCAUAAGGUGAAAGGCUUGUCAUAAUCUCCUUGCCCAUCUCCCCUGUUUUUUGUUUGAAUGUAUUUGGAUCUCCUGUACCCAAACUCUGCUUUUGAAUGAAACAGUUUGAUCUAAUAUGUUUAGACUUACUGCUGAUGAAUCCAGACACUGUUCUUUUGCAUCUGACAAACAGUACCUGUUCCUGCAUGAGUUCCUUCAGCUGUGUGAUCUUCUCUGCAUCUCCAGGGUGCUUUGUGAUAUAAUCCUUAUCAAAAAAGGCCUACAGGAAAAGGGAAAAAAAGUACCUUUUGCUUACUGGCAGGUAUUUCAUCAUAACUUGGUGUCAAAGGAUGACAGGAAAAGGUCCAAAAAUCUUAUAUUAAGAUAACAGCAAAGCUUAAUUUUAUUGGUUUUAGCACUCUGGGAUGCUGAGAAAAUGGUCUUGGCACCUGAAACGAUGCUGUUGAAUCAUGAAUCUGACCAAGUUUCCCCUUGUGACAGUGAUGAGCAAUACCUCUAAGCCUUGUGUCAUCCAGUUAUUUGAAUUUUAUAUAGUUCCCUUCACAUAACUGCCUAAAGUUUUACCCUAAACUUACCUUUUACAAUGCUCAGUUUAAGUAACAGCUUGCCAGGGAUUAUGCUGGAUAACAAAUUGCAUAUAAGAUCAUUUCAGGGUUACAGUGAGUAGGCCAUCAGCAAGGAUAAUGGUUCAGUAGCAUGAAUUAGCAUUCUUUCCUGAUUCCAGGGCCAAUCAGUCUCAAUUAUGAGUCCCAUAACCCCUAUUGCAAAAUGACUUUAUAAUGUAAGCAGUAUAAAAAAAUCCACCUCACUGUUUUACCUGCCAGCUGAGGAUUUCCAGGUAAGCCAAGUGCCAUCCUUGAGAAACCCCCUGUCACCUGUACCUACUCCCAGGCCAGAUCCCCGCUCCACCUCCGGAGCCCCCUGUUCACACGUGGCUGUGCAAGCACUGAUGCAGAAUAACCAAGUGGGGGAUUUAACCUCAUCUCUAGAUAAUGGACAUGAAAAUUUCUUAUCUUAUUAAGUCAAACUCUCUUUGAAACAGAAAUGGAAAUGAAAUUGAAAAAGGGUGACAGUAAAUUGGGAAGCAGAGCCCGGCUCACCUCCUGGUACCGCGCAAUUCCCCCGUUAACAGCCGCAUCAAUCACCCCGUUCAGACACAUGCUGAGAAGAUUAAUGUUGCCGUGCAUUUGUUUGUGCUGGUACUGGCUUAUCAGUGUCCUCAGCUCCUGGUUUUUGUUCUCAACCACUUGAAUGGCAUUUUCCAAAGGACUUACUUCAACCUAAAAGGCAAUAAAAUAUCCUUUAAUUCCAUGGACA